CUUCUUUCUCUCUUUAAUUAAUAAAGAAUUAUUCUUUGUGUGGCCGUGGAGCAGACAAAAAUUGCCGAACCAUGCCUGGCAUGUCUCGCUUGAUCUAUUAUGGCUCAAACUUUUGAGAAGGGAUUGCUAUGAAGACAAAUAGAGCGAGGGAGUUGCACCAUAUUGGAUGCAGUUUAAGCUUGAAUUUAAUUCAGUCCCUUUCUCUAAAUAUAUGACGAAGUAACUUCUCCUACGAAAUAAUGCUUGUCGGUUUAAUAUAUUUUUAAUUAAUAGCAGCAGUUGGAACUCCAACAAUACAUGUAAGUUAGUUCUGUUGCUAAACAAAGAAGUGAAUUUUUCAAUAAUUAAGGAAGUGUUAUAAAUAGAAUUAUAUUU